AGUGAACGCUGGCGGUAGGCCUAACACAUGCAAGUCGAACGGCAGCACAGUAAGAGCUUGCUCUUACGGGUGGCGAGUGGCGGACGGGUGAGGAAUACAUCGGAAUCUACUUUUUCGUGGGGGAUAACGUAGGGAAAUUUACGCUAAUACCGCAUACGACCUACGGGUGAAAGCAGGGGAUCUUCGGACCUUGCGCGAUUGAAUGAGCCGAUGUCGGAUUAGCUAGUUGGCGGGGUAAAGGCCCACCAAGGCGACGAUCCGUAGCUGGUCUGAGAGGAUGAUCAGCCACACUGGAACUGAGACACGGUCCAGACUCCUACGGGAGGCAGCAGCGGGGAAUAUUGGACAAUGGGCGCAAGCCUGAUCCAGCCAUACCGCGUGGGUGAAGAAGGCCUUCGGGUUGUAAAGCCCUUUUGUUGGGAAAGAAAAGCAGCAGGUUAAUACCCCGCUGUUCUGACGGUACCCAAAGAAUAAGCACCGGCUAACUUCGUG
rnacentral:rRNA from 1 species